rnacentral:rRNA from 1 species
AACGGGUGAGCCUGCGGUUUAAUUGGACUCAACGCCGGGCAGCUCACCGGAUAAGACAGCUGGAUGAUAGCCGGGCUGAAGACUCUGCUUGACUAGCUGAGAGGAGGUGCAUGGCCGUCGUCAGUUCGUACUGUGAAGCAUCCUGUUAAGUCAGGCAACGAGCGAGACCCACGCCAACAGUUGCCAGCAUGUCCUCCGGGAUGAUGGGGACACUGUUGGGACCGCCUCUGCUAAAGAGGAGGAAGGAAUGGGCAACGGUAGGUCAGCAUGCCCCGAAUUAUCCGGGCUACACGCGGGCUACAAUGGUCAGGACAAUGGGUAUCGACACCGAGAGGUGGAGGCAAUCUCCUAAACCUGUCCUUAGUUCGGAUUGUGGGCUGCAACUCGCCCACAUGAAGCUGGAAUCUGUAGUAAUCGUGUCUCAAAAUGGCACGGUGAAUAUGUCCCUGCUCCUU